UACAGAGGGGGCAAGCGUUGUUCGGAAUUACUGGGCGUAAAGGGCGCGUAGGCGGCCUGUUAAGUCGAACGUGAAAUCCCCGGGCUCAACCCGGGAACUGCGUCCGAUACUGGCAGGCUUGAAUUCGGGAGAGGGAUGCGGAAUUCCAGGUGUAGCGGUGAAAUGCGUAGAGAUCAUGAGGAAGACCAGUGGCGAAGGCGGGUCUCUGGACAGUUCCUGACACUGAGGCACGAAGGCCAGGGGAGCAAACGGG
rnacentral:rRNA from 1 species